rnacentral:misc_RNA from 1 species
AAGAGUUGAAGCAUUUAUUGUAUACAGAUAACCAUCUCGUUCAGCGGUUGAAGAAAUAUAAUGCCGAUAAAGAUUUGACUCUUGAGCAAAUUUUGUGGGUGACUUGCGUACAAGGUAUUCAUAAUACCAGUAUGGUUCACCAUCAGUUACACUGGUAUGGGUAUCACUGAACUCUCAGCCAAUCGCUGACUUGAGGUGACUCGCAGCGCAGACUUGUCUGACAAAACAGAAUCGGCAACAUCUUUUGCAGUCCAGGUACCCUUGUCCUUAGAUUUUAUGAACGUAACCGAGAUGAUCAAG